CUCUGUGACUCCUACGGGGAGGCAGCAGUGGGGAAUAUUGCACAAUGGGGGAAACCCUGAUGCAGCCAUGCCGCGUGUGUGAAGAAGGCCUUCGGGUUGUAAAGCACUUUCAGUAGGGAGGAAGGUAGUGUAGUUAAUACCUGCAUUAUUUGACGUUACCUACAGAAGAAGCACCGGCUAACUCCGUGCCAGCAGCCGCGGUAAUACGGAGGGUGCGAGCGUUAAUCGGAAUUACUGGGCGUAAAGCGCAUGCAGGCGGCCUGUUAAGUCAGAUGUGAAAGCCCGGGGCUUAACCUCGGAAUUGCAUUUGAAACUGGCAGGCUAGAGUCUUGUAGAGGGGGGUAGGAAUUUCAGGUGUAGCGGUGAAAUGCGUAGAGAUCUGAAGGAAUACCAGUGGCGAAGGCGGCCCCCUCGGACAAAGACUGACGCUCAGAUGCGAAAGCGUGGGGAGCAAACAGGAUUAGAUACCCUGGUAG
rnacentral:rRNA from 1 species